rnacentral:rRNA from 1 species
ACGCUGGCGGCAGGCCUAACACAUGCAAGUCGAGCGGAAACGACACUAACAAUCCUUCGGAUGCGUUAAUGGGCGUCGAGCGGCGGACGGGUGAGUAAUGCCUAGGAAAUUGCCUUGAUGUGGGGGAUAACCAUUGGAAACGAUGGCUAAUACCGCAUAAUGCCUACGGGCCAAAGAGGGGGAUCUUCGGACCUCUCGCGUCAAGAUAUGCCUAGGUGGGAUUAGCUAGUUGGUGAGGUAAUGGCUCACCAAGGCGACGAUCCCUAGCUGGUCUGAGAGGAUGAUCAGCCACACUGGAACUGAGACACGGUCCAGACUCCUACGGGAGGCAGCAGUGGGGAAUAUUGCACAAUGGGCGAAAGCCUGAUGCAGCCAUGCCGCGUGUAUGAAGAAGGCCUUCGGGUUGUAAAGUACUUUCAGUUGUGAGGAAGGGGGUAAMGUUAAUAGCKKYRYMUCUUGACGUUAGCAACAGAAGAAGCACCGGCUAACUCCGUGCCAGCAGCCGCGGUAAUACGGAGGGUGCGAGCGUUAAUCGGAAUUACUGGGCGUAAAGCGCAUGCAGGUGGUUCAUUAAGUCAGAUGUGAAAGCCCGGGGCUCAACCUCGGAACUGCAUUUGAAACUGGUGAACUAGAGUGCUGUAGAGGGGGGUAGAAUUUCAGGUGUAGCGGUGAAAUGCGUAGAGAUCUGAAGGAAUACCAGUGGCGAAGGCGGCCCCCUGGACA